rnacentral:rRNA from 1 species
UACGUAGGUGGCAAGCGUUGUCCGGAUUUAUUGGGUUUAAAGGGCGCGUAGGCGGGCCGCCAAGUUCGAGGUGAAAUCCUCCGGCUCAACCGGAGAACUGCCUCGAAUACUGGAGGCCUCGAGGCGGGUAGGGGCAUGCGGAACUGUGGGUGGAGCGGUGAAAUGCGUUGAUAUCCACAGGAACUCCGGUGGCGAAGGCGGCAUGCUGGACCCGAUCUGACGCUGAGGCGCGAAAGCCAGGGGAGCAAACGGG